UUUAAACUUAAACUUUAGGACAGAGCAUCUAGAACAUUCUGCACCAUUAACUUAUACUGCCAGGAUGUAUGUUCAUGCUGGAAAUUUUUAUUGUUUUAUUUUGCAUCCCCUUCCAGAUCUGAAAGGCCUAAGCCAUUACCCUCCCUUCAGUGUUUUCAUUUGCUUCUACAUUAUAAAAAACUGCUGUAAAAGAAAAGCAAAAAAGAGGAAAACCAUUCUUGCCUAUGCAUUUCUCUCUCCUUUCUUCCUGACCUAAUUUGAAAGCUCUGGAUCCUAGCCAUCUUUACUUGAAGGGCAGUUGGAGGCUUCUCAAGUGACAUGCUGUUCAGUGUUAUCACCAAAUGUAGUCAGAUUUCUCUUGGAAUAUUUCUCCCCCUGAAGAUACAACUGCUAAUAGCAUUUUUCUAUUAGCAGUUGUAACCUAAUCCCUACUGCUUUUAUUUACACACUAAUGAACAAUACU
rnacentral:lncRNA from 1 species